GCCUGGGUGGCUCAGUCGGUUGAGCGUCUGACUUCAGCUCAGGUCAUGAUCUCACAGUUUGUGAGUUCGAGCCCCACAUCGGGCU
rnacentral:tRNA from 1 species